rnacentral:lncRNA from 1 species
UUGGAGAAAGCAAUGCUUCGUUAUUUGCAGAAACGUCAUGAAGAAGCUGUUGCCGCAGGUCAGGAACCUCCUUUUGGUGGUCGUUAUGCUCCACCCUCAGUCCCGGGUGUUUCACGUCCACUUAGUACUACCGUUUCAGGCAGCACAAAAUAAACCACAGGAUGAGGCUGGGUCAGCGGAACCUUCGUCUUCACCGCCCAAGGAUGCUUAAAGUCCUCCUAGAUAAUAACC